rnacentral:rRNA from 1 species
GCAUAUCAAUAAGCGGAGGAAAAGAAACCAACAGGGGAUUGCCCCAGUAACGGCGAAGUGAAGCGGCAACAGCUCAAAUUUGAAAUCUGGCCCCAGGCCCGAGUUGUAAUUUGCAGAGGAUGCUUUUGGCGCGGUGCCUUCCGAGUUCCCUGGAACGGGACGCCAUAGAGGGUGAGAGCCCCGUACGGUUGGACACCAAGCCUUUGUAAAGCUCCUUCGACGAGUCGAGUAGUUUGGGAAUGCUGCUCUAAAUGGGAGGUACAUUUCUUCUAAAGCUAAAUAUUGGCCAGAGACCGAUAGCGCACAAGUAGAGUGAUCGAAAGAUGAAAAGCACUUUGAAAAGAGGGUUAAACAGCACGUGAAAUUGUUAAAAGGGAAGCGCUUGUGACCAGACUUGCGUCCGGUGAAUCACCCAGCUCUCGCGGCUGGGGCACUUCGCCGGCACAGGCCAGCAUCAGCUUGCCGUCGGGGACAAAAGCUUCAGGAACGUGGCUCCUCUCGGGGAGUGUUAUAGCCUGUUGCAUAAUACCCUUCGGCGGGCUGAGGUACGCGCUCCGCAAGGAUGCUGGCGUAAUGGUCAUCAGCGACCCGUCUUGAAACACGGACCAAGGAGUCAACCUUAUGUGCGAGUGUUUGGGUGUUAAACCCCUACGCGUAAUGAAAGUGAACGCAGGUGAGAGCUUCGGCGCAUCAUCGACCGAUCCUGAUGUUCUCGGAUGGAUUUGAGUAAGAGCAUAUAGGGUUGGACCCGAAAGAAGGUGAACUAUGCGUGUGUAGGGUGAAGCCAGAGGAAACUCUGGUGGAGGCUCGCAGCGGUUUCUGACGUGCAAAUCGAUCGUCAAACAUGCGCAUGGGGGCGAAAGACUAAUCGAACCUUCUAGUAGCUGGUUUCCGCCGAA